AAUACCUCCCAGGCAUGCUUAUGCAAGAUAACCAUCAGAUGUCCAAACUUAUCGACAGAGAUAGGACAAGCAACCCCAUAUCACCAGGAAGCAGGAAACGACCCCCUAACAACAACUGAAGCAUGCGAAGAGUACCUCCACUAUCUCAUUGAACAUGGAAGUAAAGAUGUAUAAAGAGAGACUGUUUGAACUGCUCAGUACGGUAGUUGGCGGAGCGCAGACUCCCCUGCCGUCCAGCGCUGUAUUUGCUCAUAUUCUACUUGCUACAAUUAAUAAAAUUCUAAUUGGAUUAUGAUCCAUUGUGGUCUCAAUUUAUGACAAUUUUGGUGCUGUGACUCGGAUAAGGAACGGUGAGCUUCUGUCCUCCGGGGAGGCGCCCCGCGGCAAUCCGCGGCCCCGCGACCGACAGCUUACCUCAACCUUACCGACGAACCUAAAUUCUAGAAUGAUGAGCAAAGGAGAAACCGGUAAAAUCCCAUAAAAAUUCUGUGCACGGGAGUCCGGACGAAGACGCAGGGCGCAAACAGCUGUCCGGACUGCUGAGCGUGGAUGGACUCAUGCCAGUCGCAUUAAAGGCCCAGUGACGAGACCCCACUGGAAAGUAAUCAGUACUCCAGGUGACACCAAGAUAACUCUGAAAAGAUAACGUGAUUAUUGUUCCUCGCCUAAUCUAUCACACCUCUGAGGAGGUGCUACGCCACUUUGAAGGAAACCUGAAUAGACAAAAACGAGAGCCAAUUACGGCAGUAACCCUAGCUACACUGCUGAUAGCGGGUGGAGUUGGAGCAAGUACAGGCAUAGCCUCCCUGGUAAAAGGUCAGGAGUUACAAAAUUUGCAGAUGGCUGUAGAUGAGGAUUUAGCAAAAAUAGAGCAAUCUAUUCAAAAUUUAGCCACUUCAGUAAAAUCUUUAUCAGAAGUGGUGCUGCAAAAUAGGAGAGGAUUAGACCUAUUGUUCUUAAAGGAAGGAGGGUUAUGCGUAGCUCUCAAUGAAGAAUGUUGUUCGUUUGCUGACCAUACGGGAGUAGUCCAAGACACCAUGUCUGAACUCCGGAAAAGGACCGCUUAUUAUGUUGAUUCUGGGACUUAUAUUUGGACCUUGUAUAUUACGCUGUAUUUUACAUUUUAUUAAAGAACGGUUUGACCUAGCUAAAUUGCUUAUUUUGACUACAAGGUCUGAAGCAAAAUAUAAGAGUGUAUCUAUUAAUGAAGAUGAUGAUUGUUGUGAAUGCAUUAUGCCACAUAAGAACUAUGAUUGUAAUUGUGAGAUAUUACCUUGUGAGUGUUAUGAUAAAUGUCGGAAUUGUGGAAGAAGAUUUGCCUGCAGUGCCGAAAAUGAAAGUAGUGUCUAAUAAACAAUAAUAGGAUAAAAAGAAAAAGGGGGGAUUGUGAGAAACUGAACUAAGGUAUUGUUUAUUAAGACUUAUGUUAAGCUCAAUGUAAAGGUUAUGCGAAGAAUACCUCCCAGGCAUGCUUAUGCAAGAUAACCAUCAGAUGUCCAAACUUAUCGACAGAGAUAGGACAAGCAACCCCAUAUCACCAGGAAGCAGGAAACGACCCCCUAACAACAACUGAAGCAUGCGAAGAAUACCUCCCAGGCAUGCUUAUGCAAGAUAACCACCAGAUGUCCAAACUUACCGACAGAGAUAGGACAAGCAACCCCAUAUCACCAGGAAGCAGGAAACGACCCCCUAACAACAACUGAAGCAUGCGAAGAGUACCUCCACUAUCUCAUUGAACAUGGAAGUAAAGAUGUAUAAAGAGAGACUGUUUGAACUGCUCAGUACGGUAGUUGGCGGAGCGCAGACUCCCCUGCCGUCCAGCGCUGUAUUUGCUCAUAUUCUACUUGCUACAAUUAAUAAAAUUCUAAUUGGAUUAUGA